AAGAUCUGCAAGCGGGAGAGCGAGCAUCUGUGUGAAAACAAACCUGUUUUAUGCAGUCCUCCAAGUCACCAGAGCUGCUGGAAUCCAACAAAGGUUUUCUACAUACGGUGGUGAACCAGCAGGUUUAUUUAUACUAAAGAAGUUUCUCAUCCAUUAUUGAUGCCUAAAUCAGCUCUGGUCUUUCCCUGGCCUGCAACUCCUCUAAUGUGAGCGUGUGUAUGAAGCAUCUUUGAGUUCAGCAUGGAUGGUUUGCUUACCAUCAAUUAUGCAUGUGGAAGAAGCCCUACAAAGGAAAGAGAAUCAAGCCAGCAAGAAAGUGCUUCCCAUUUUCUAAGUCCCACUGUGCUUUUUAAGCUCCUGUUCUGCUCUCCCAUGGAAGAAUCUCCUAUUCUGCAGUCCAGUCCUCCUGGACCAAUAGGUCAACCAGCCUGGUGAGCUCCACAAGGCCAUUGACACAGAGCAGCUGUUGGCUGCUUUCUUCUCCUGGUAUUACAGGGGAUUGAACUGAACUGUGGCUGCUUUGCAGGAGCAUAGCUGAAAGGACAUCUAUACAGCAAUAAAAACAGAGCCGCCGCAGCCAUUACAUCAAGGAGUAUCAGAUCCUUUGAUGGAAACAUGAGUGUCUCUAAA